GGGGUAAUAAAAUAUGAGAAGAACUUUUGAAGCCCAUAGGAAACAUAAAGUUAGUGAUAUUUAACCACCUUAUUUUGUUUAAACCCUUUGUGACUCCACUUCUUUUUAAGCUCUCACUGGAGGAUGUUAUUGAUGAACUGUGGGUGUGUGUG